rnacentral:lncRNA from 1 species
GGAAAUUACAGCAGACAUCACAUUUAUGUCGGACACAGUUCUGCAGUUUUUCACCCGAAUUGAUCCCCUGACUUCACGUAGGAACAGAUGUUCGGUUUACAAGUAUGUACAUUUGUUUACAUGUAUUCAUUGUUCCAUUUAUGCGCUGUUCUAUUUUCAUUUAAAAAUCUAAAAUUCUUCAUAAAUAUACUUCACGUGACAGGCAGCAUUUUGCUUAUAUAUCAACUUUCUUUUAGUCUAGGUAAUAUUGUGACUUAAAUGUACGAUCUUUUCUGCUUGAAUAUAGAAUAUAAUCUUUAACAUUUAAAGAUUAUAUGUUCUCUUGAUAUUAAUAGUAAUUUGUAUUAUACUUCAUUAUAAAUCUACGAUUAUUAUUGAUAAUAAUCAAUCAGUUGCUUGAAAUUGUUGCCUGUAGAUGAAGGAACAAUGUCAAAGAUCUUUCUAGUUUGUCAGAUUGAUGAAAUGGUUGCGCUUUAACUAGGGCCUGUGUAGGUCGUCGUUGUCGUCGUUGUCAUCAUCAUUCUCUGGACACGGUGUUUUGUCCUAGGACUUAUAGGGCCUGUUACUCCAUUUUCGUGACUUAUAAGCGACCGACAUCACAACAUUCCCCUGAACAGGCCUUCAGUCCGUUGCAUGGUUACUCAUUUACAGGUGAAUGAACUGGGAAUUGAAAUUACGACCUUGUGAUUGUGAGUACAACACUCUGACCACUAGGCCACGUGCCUUCACUUAGGUUGAUCGACUCAUGUAGAAAUACGUGAAAAGUGUGAAAAGUCCAGAAAUUUACCCUUUGUUGAUGAAAUAUUAAGUAGAAAGUAUUUAAUGCGAAUUUUGAUAGGAGGUAAAAACAAUAUGAAAGAGUAUCAGUGUGGAAUACAGCUUACAAGUUUGUAACGGCUUUGAUACAUCCAAAAGCAUGCAAAGUAAAGUUUGUGUUUGUGUCCUCUUCAUUGUUUAGUAGUAAUUGCUGAGACCGAUAGAAUGAUGUUGUAAGAGAACAGAAUUAGAGCUAGAGAGAAUUGUAGGGUGUGGGACGUUGCUGACAGUAAAUUUCAUUUCUCUCGCUGACCAAAGUUCUAGCUGGUCAGCCAGACUUCGUUCUCACUGAGUUGUCACCGCAGUGGCUAACUGAUUUUUGCUUGGGGUAUGCUUGCUUAUAUAACUAUCUAGAAGGAUAGAUAUACCAUUGAAAACAAUAGAUUUAGUUGGUGGUCUUGUUAUCUAUUCUAGCUUUUGGUGAUGUAGAAGAGGUUAGAAAGGGUCAAGUGGUGAAGACAUUAUUUCGGCCUAGCUAAAAGCAUCAGGAAAAUCUAAAACUGCUGUCACAGAAAAACUAUUGUUCCAUCGUGGGAAAAGUUCUGUUGCAGUGUUAAUUUAAAUUUGGCUGUGAUGGAUCGAAUCUACUUCAUGCAUAGAAGAUUCGCUACAAGUUCUUAGAAGUUACUAGUUCUUAGAGUUCCGUAGAAAAGGUUAAAGAAGCAGAAUAUCUAUGUGUUUAUGGUUUUUUGCACCCUUGAGCUUUGUUAGUCAGUUUAAUUUCUUUCUAUUUUGGUGUGGUCAACGAUAUUCAUUUAAUGUUGUUCUCUGUAUCUGAAGAAUUUGUACCUUGUCUACUUCAGUAAUUUUUUUUUACCAAGAUUAAAUCUCAUCUUUUGGAUAGAAAGUUUCCUCUCAGAUAGUUCCUUCAAAGUGUGUACUCCUGAGACUCUCUCUCUCUCUCUCUCUCUCUCUCUAACCCAUACUCUAUCUACUCUACUAUGUUUCAAAGAUGAAUAAUUCUUCUAUACUCUUCCAUAGAUAUUUUGUCUUUUACUCUAUACAUAUUUCUUCACUUCCCACUAGGGGCUAAACACAGAGGGUACAAACAAGGACAGACAAACGGAUUAAGUCGAUUACAUCGAUCCCAGUGCGUAACUGGUACUUAAUUUAUCGACCCCGAAAGGCUGAAAGGCAAAGUCGAUCUCGGCGGAAUUUGAACUCAGAACGUAGCGGCAGACGAAAUACGGCUACGCAUUUCGCCCGGCGUGCUAACGUUUCUGCCAGCUCGCCGCCUUCUUUUACUCUAUACAACUCUCGCAACAGCGCCAUACCAGUCACACAUAAAAUUUGUGGAGAACGAGUUACUGAUUAGGUUGAAUUAUUUUCGGUUUCAAAAGAAGCCAAGACUUUGGUUCUGCUAUAAGCAAUAAGUGAAAUCGCUAUGAGAGAUUUUGAAGCUAAGCACAAAUUCGACUUUGUUAAAUUGUUUGUUCUGAGACAUAAAUGAUCGAAUGUUUGUAUUGUUCAGUAAGUCAUUGUCAUGUCUCAAAUAAAGGAUUAUUUUAAGGGUUCUGUUGAUAGAUGUAGUGAAAAUCCGAUCUGAUAUGUCUAAGUCGAGGAUCAGGUCUGCAUAAGUAUGGUUAAGAAGUGGAGAGUUUUAUCCUCAACUAGGGUUGUAUAGAGUAAAAGGCUAACUGUCAUCAGUAUACAGAAGAAUAUAGAAGACUUAUUCAUCUCUGAAACAGUAUAGUUGAUAGAAUGUGGGUUAGAGAGAGAGAGAGAGAGAGAGAGAGAGAGAGAGAGAGAGAGAGAGAGAGUUUUAGUAGAACACACUUCGAAGGAACAGUCUGAGAGGAAACUUUUGAUCCAAAAGAUGAGAGUUAAUCUAGAUAAAAAAAUUACUGAAGUAAGACAAGGUCCAAAUUUUUUUUGAUACCGUGAACAACAUCGACUUCAUCGAAUUUCACAAGAACGAAAAUUCAGAAGUGUGUGAGAAAGAGUCACGUAUAUCUGUGUUCUCUAAAUAUUGAAAUUUGAUUGGAACAAAUACAGAUAGAACAAAGAAAGGUAGAUAUAAAAGUAUGUAACUCGUCUUCGUACCAACAUGGACUACAAGUAUAAAUAUUUAAAUAUUGGCACAAACAUACUUACGCAUAUGAAUUUACAAACAUACAAUCACACAUGCACACAUUUCUAUAUAUAUAUAUAUCAAUCAUAUAUCAUAUAUAUAUAUAUAUAUAUAUAUAUAUAUAUAUAUAUACAUACACAUAUACAUGCAUACAUGUACAUACACUCUCACAUACACAGCAGAUAUGUAGAUUUAUUUAUAUAUAUAUAUAUAUAUAUAUAUAUAUAUAUAAAUAAGCAACAAGGAUAUCCAGAGGUAAUGCAGUACGAUCGUUUCAUGCGACUCCAUUUAAUUGAAAAAUGCAAUCAUUUCAUUACAUCAGUUUAAAAUGUAGAGCAAUCUUCAGCUGCACAAAGACAUAGAAUUUAAUUAAAUUAGAAGGACACAUUAAUAUAAUUUUACCUAAAAUCUCCAAGAGCUUGAGGAGAUAGACAAAGAACAUGUUUUGUUGGUAAAACACGUUCUUUGUCUAUCUCCUCAAGCUCUUGGAGAUUUUAGGUAAAAUUAUGUGUCCUUCUAAUUUAAUUAAAUCUAUCAGACGCCAUGAUAGAUCGUUAGCCACUACACACAUUUUUUUUCUCUCCUUGUUUCUCUCCUUGUUUUCUGUGUUCCUUUCUGUAGAAGAGCGUAGGCUCGAAACGUAAAAUACUUUUCUAUUCCUGAGCGUUAUACUAAUACAUCUGUUUGUUUUGUACACCACCUAUCUUCGUCUUUUGUUGUUGUUUUCGUAAACUCUCCCUAUAUAUAUAUAUAUAUAUAUAUAUAUAUAUAUAUAUAUAAGAAAAAUAAAAACGGAAAAUACGCACUUACAUGGUUAUAGUAUAAUUUUUAAUGUAUCGACCGGUGUCGCAAUCGCUAUUCAUGAUACAAUGUUUAAUUUAUAUGAAAAUAUAUUUUUUCUUAAGAAGAAAAUGGGUCCAUGUUGUUUAUAAUGAGAUUCACGAGUGAAUGAUUUUACAAGUUGACAAGUAAAGGGUUGUUAUUGUUGUCUGUAAGGGAGAUAACUGUUUAGGUUUUGGGUGGGGAAAAAUAUGUGUACAGAAAGGAGACAGGUUUAAAAAAAAAGGGGGGCCUUGUUUAGUAGGGGAUUUAUGUACAGUGAUGUAAUAUGUAAAAAUAUAAAAAUUGGUUAUGCGUGCUUAUUCAGACGCGUUUUGUAUUUUUCAAUGAAAAAAGUUUCUUUAUUUAAGCGUUCUAGUUGAGAGAUUUUGUCUUUGCACUGGUAGAAAGGGAAGACUGUAAAAUUUGGUUUGAUGUUACCUGCACAUUUUUCUAUGUGUUCACGAAGAGGGAUUUGUCUGUAUUUCGGGAAACGGAUUUGCUCUUUAUGCAGAGUAAUUCUCUUCCUCAAAAUUAAACUCGUUUGUCCAAUGUACUGAUGACUGCAACCCGAGCAUGUUAUUACAUAAAUUAGGUUCUCAGAGGCACAGGUGAAACUAGUUUUAAUUGUGAACCUCUGUCCUUGUUUGAAAAGGAAGUCCGAGCCUUCAAGCAGGUGGGGGAAGGUUUCACAGUUCGGGCGUCCACAUUUUUUAACCGCUGGUUUCGUGGUUGUUUUGUAAAGCUUCGCAUUUGUUAGAAGUCUCUUUAGCGAUUUGUCUUGUUUUUUGCAUUUGAUGAGUUUGUGUGUUUUCAGGAUGUCGUUCAUUUUUGGAUCUCUAGUUAGUAAAGGGAGAGUUUGCACAAUAGUGUUGAAUGCCUCACUGUUUCUGGGGUUGUGUGUCGAUAUAAAAAGUAGUGUUUUGGUUUGAGGUGUGGUGCUAUGUUUUUUUGUUCUUAGUGUUUUUGUGUCUAAUUGUUUGGCACGUUUAAUUCCCUAGUCGAUAAGAGAAGGUGGAUAUUGUCUUUCAAUAAGUGUUGUUUUGAGGUCUUGAAGACGAAGGUCCCGAGUUGUUCUGUCAGACACUAUUGUGCAGAUCCUUUUUGCUAAGUUAAAAGGGAUGUUUAUUUUUAUGUGUUUCGGGUGACAUGAGUUAAAAAGAAGGUAUUGUUUUGCGUCAGUUGGUUUAUAAUAAAUGUCAGUUAUGAUUUCAUUGUUGAUUUUUUUUAUCAUGAUGUCUAAAAAAGGAAGUUGUUCUUUAUCAUAUGCCAUUGUGAAUUGAAUGUUACUAUUUAUGUCAUUUAGUGUUGUUUUGAAAUCCAAAAGUUUGUCGAUGUUCUCCUUCCACAUGAUAAAACAGUCAUCCAAGUAUCGCUUCCAAUUUUCUCUUAUGUAGAGGUAAAAUGGGUAACCAUAUUUCUGAAGUGAUACUUCAUAUAAGGUGAAUUCAAAAUAGCCCAUUAUUAGAUUCGCAAGAACAGGAGCUGCUUUCGUCCCCAUCGCAAUUCCGCAUUUCUGACGAUAGUAUGUGUCAUCAAACAGGAAAUAAUUGUUCUGAAGUAUAAAUUUUAAGGAUUCAAUAAUAAAGGUCUGGUUUAUGCGUUCCGGGAGGACUUCGGGGUACUUUUCCAACCAGAAUUUAAUUGCUUUCAUUCCAUAGUCAUGGGGGAUGUUGGUGUAAAGAUUGAUAACAUCGAGGGUGACCAAUACUGCUUCUUCAUUAAUCGUUUUUGGUAGGUGCUCUAACAUGUCUAAAUCAUCCCUAAUAAAGCCUUUGAUGUAUUUCAGCAAGGGUUUCAGUAGGAUGUCUAGAAAAUUGCUCAGUCGGUGGGUUUCACAGGCCGGUCCAGCUACAAUGGGUCUUAAAGUCAAGUCUUCUGGCGUUUGGAUGUUUAUAUAUUUGCCUGGUGAUUGUUUGCAGGCUUCAUUGAUUAUCUUGCUCUUGUGUAUUUUAGGGAGGCUAUAAAAAAGACUGUGUUUACAUUUGAAGUUCGUGAUGUAGUCUCUCUCUCUCUCUCUCUCUCUCUCUCUCUCUCUCUCUCUCUCUAUAUAUAUAUAUAUAUAUAUAUAUAUAUAUAUAUAUAUAUAUAUAUAUAUAUAUAUAUGUAUAUAUAUAUGUAUAUAUAUAUAUGUAUAUAUAUAUGUAUAUAUAUGUAUAUAUAUAUAUAUAUAUAUAUAUAUAUGUAUAUAUAUAUAUAUAUAUAUGUAUAUAUAUAUAUAUAUAUAUAUAUAUAUAUAUAUAUAUAUAUAUAUAUAUAUAUAUAUAUAUAUAUAUAUAUAUAUAUAUAUAUAUAUAUAUAUAUGUGUAUGUACAGUUACAACUAUAUAUAUUUAGGCGAAAGAAACAAAUAAGCAAAUGAAUUUAUAAAUAGAAACAAAAGAAUGGUAGAAAAUGAAUUAUCAAUAAAUCCUCAGAGGAGCGUGAAAUGAUCAUAAUUCGGAUAAACAUUUCCUCUCAUUUCGUUUAGAGAAUGAGAGAAGCGCAAUUUCACCGGGAUCUCAAAUUUUAUGUGGAAUGUAAAGCACUGUGGAAUAAGUAACUCCACAACAAGUUAGCGUGCUGCUACAAAGACAGAUAAAUACAAAGGGCGAGGUAGCAAGUGCAAUUCAUGCACGAUGGAAAACACAAAAUAAUUUUUUUUUUUUUUUCUUGUCCACAUACAAAAUUUUUCAGAAACAACCCUAAUCAGCAGUAUUCUAACUACACCCGGUUACCUGCUAUACCCCUAACCCUGGACUUUAUAUCUAUCUAAGUUCCUUAGAGUUUUCCUUUAACUCUGUAUUAAGAUACCAACCAGGCUCCACAACAGCCCCCAAAACUACAUUUUGGGGAUGACAAUUUCUCCUGUCAGCUUUUUUCUAACAUCUUUUUGACUUUUGCUCUUUUACAUAUUUUCUUACCUCCUAUUUUAUUUCAUGCAACAAUACUCAGAACCCCGAAACAAUACCACAACCCCUCACCUCUUAUAAUCUCUGAUUGUACUCAAGCGAAGCGACUUCCCGCUCUAUAUGUCCAUCCCCUUCUCACCGUGGUGGGGACGCUGGUAACGGGUAGUGUCAGAGUAUGCCGUCGGGAACUUCGCUUCUUGGUAGGGCCACCCAAGGCGGAUUGGUCCGACACCGUGUGGUAUUAGGGCCACAACCCGGCAGACUGGGCUCUGGUGAAAAUCCUCGGAGUGUCUGCUUCGGCAACCGGCGGUUCCUCGGUCGUUCUGUCCCUGCGUCUGCGGACAAUCUGCGGCAAACAGGUUGUCACUACAUGCGGGAUUGUUGGGGAACGCUUGUGAAAUCCACAUAUUCCCACGAAACUCCUUCCAUGAAUUCUCAAUGGCGAAUACAAUGGCAACAUCGGCCUGCGCCGAUGGAACCGUGACUGGCUCGCUAUCUCCAGUGAACUGGCACAGGACCGUUGAGCGUGGGCUGCCAUGGUUCGAGAUGCCUCGAGGGUGGUAGAAGAAGCCGACUCAACCCGCCCAGGGUGAAUGUCGCAACAAGUACAAGUACAAGUACUAUAUGACAAAGCAAGCACCCACUCCACCAUAUGACCAGGCGUUCUCAGUUCAUGCUGCUAUACAACGAGAGAGAAAGUUAUAAACUUUCAGCGGUACAUUUCAGAGUCAACUCACCACAUGGCAGUGUGGUGUCCAAAUUACUUUCAUUCAAACACAAACUGUAUAACAGUACACUACACCAAUUCCAUCAAAUAGCCGUGUCCUGUCUUCUUUACAACGAAGCAUAAACUCUCGUGGCUGUUAAUCAUUGCAUCACAAUAAACAACACACGAUUUAAAAAAAAAAUUCAUUUUAACAAGGCUUGAGGCUACUGUAGCGUAAGGGACUACAAAGAAGGAAAACAAAUUCAAAAGACGCCAGUUGACAGAGAGCUUAAAAAACUGAAUACAAACUAACGAUUGUAGGGAGUUCCAGAGAGCGGAUCUUUUCGGUUUGAACGGCAGUUUUUAACAUAAUUUCUAGGUAACUUAAAAAUGUUAAACUUCGUAUACUGGUAGAAUGUGUUUAUAAAACAUCUUUUUCGCUUGGCUUUAUUGAGAAAAUUCUAUAGUUUGUAAGAUAUUUGUUGUUUUUUUUCUUCAAUUUCUGCAAUUUCAACCAAUCUCUGACGUCUAUUGAGUUAAAAAGCAUUCUGUGCCGUAUGAAUAUGUCCCUCGUUUAAGAAACAAAUUGGGUUCAUUUACAUUUGUGAAGAAAAAAAGAUAUCCUUCCCCCACCCCUAACCCUUACCCUAACCCUAAAAGAGAUUGAAAUACAAUAGAUCGAUUCUAGGGUCAUAAUUAUGCGUGACAAUUUCAUAUGAAACCGCUAGAAAAAACUGCCGUUCAAACCGAAAAGAUCCCAGAGAACAAAGAGGAAAGCUAUUUAGAAUACAAAGGGGUUAAAUACACAAACCGUUUUCUGUACCUCUACUAUACAAUGAGACAUAAGCGGUCAUGAGUUCUAAUCGUUGCCCCUCAGUGGUAAAUUCUACCUUACUCCGUCGGUUUCGACGACGAGCGUUCCAGUCGAUCCGAUCAACGGAACAGCCUGCUCGUGAGAUUAACGUGCAAGUUGCUGAUCACUCCGCAGACAUGUGUACCCUUAAUCUCAGGGAGAUUCAAAGGCUGGCCCUUUGGAAUACAGGGGCUUACUCACUUUUGCCAGCUGAGUGAACUAGAACAACGUGAAACAAAGUGUCUUGUUUAAGGACACAACGCGACGCCGGCAAUAGAAUUCACUGUCUUACGAUCGUGAGCCAAAUACCCUAAUCGCUGAUCACGCGCACCUUAUUAUAUAUAUUUAUGUAGUAUAGAUACGGUUGUCAGAAUCAUUAGCCCACCUGGCGAAAUACUGAGCGGUAUUUUGGCUACCGUUACGUUCUGAGUUCAAAUUCCGCCGAGGUCGACUUUGCCAUUCAUCCUUUCGGGGUCGAUUAAAUAAGUACCAGUUACACACUGGAGUCAAUAUAAUCGACUUAAUCUGUUUGUUUGUCCCCUCUGUGUUUAGCCCCUUGUGGGUAGUAAAGAAAUAGGUAUUUCUAGUGCCGUUACGUUCUGAGUUCAAAUUCCGCCGAGGUCGACUUUGCCUUUCAUCCUUUCGGGGGUCGAUUAAAUAAGUACCAGUUAUGUACUGGGGUCGAUGUAAUCGACUUAAUCCCUGUGUCUGUCCUUGUUUGUCUCAUCUGUGUUUAGCCCCCUUGUGGCAAUAAAGAAAUAAAUAUUGGAUUGACUUCCUUGUAAAAUCAACUUGAGUUAUUUCCCUUGGUAUAAGUCUGCAAUCUCAGAAAAAAGAUGACAUCUGUAAACACGAUACAUUCAUAAUGAUGAAGAAUUAGAAACGUUUCGCUGUGGAAUUACUCUUAAUUCUACGUCGACGAGAAAUAAUCUUUCUGGUACAGUGUGCAAAAACAAAAGAAAUAAUAAGCAGCAAAGAAUUUCAGAGAGAGUAGUUCAGUAGUUAUGCCUUUAUAUCAGAUUGUUCAAUAAAGGCAGAAGUUUCCUAUGAGAAAAAUCUUAGAGUGAACACGCUAUGAUAACGAUUGUACAGGAUUGUUUCCCUUGUUGUAUAUUAAUAAGGCCAAUAUUAGUUGUUGCCCUUGACGCAAGCCAAUAAUCUUCGACAAAGACAGCGUUUAUAGACACUGCUUGUGUCCAAUGGUGAGGCCUUUCGCGCAUAUCAAAAACGCAGAGAGACAUUAACAACAUUACAGGGCAUUACCACUCGUGAAAUGGAAACUACUCCCCGAAACUCCUAUAAUGGCCUUUGGGAAUUCUUACAGGUGUGUGCCCCCACCCAUCUCCACCUUCGUUUGUCUCCUUAUGACUUCCAGAAAAAAAUGGAUAUUUUCUGAUGGAAUUUUCUAGAAAUACGCUCCACAUUGUGUAGAUUCUGCUUAUAUCGGAGUAUGAGGGGGAAAAUAUUUUCCCGAGGAUGGGGUGAGGUGUUUCGGAAAAUACGGUAACACACGCACAUACACAUUAUACAUACAUACAUACAUACAUACAUACUUACAUGUAUAUCUUUAUAUAUAAAAGUCAAGUUGUGUGUCUGUCUCCUACGAUUUAGAUUCCUAACUACUCCCACAUUUUGCGGUGCAGUUUAACCAAAACCGGGUAUCUUAUAGUCGUGAUUCAUAUCGAGCCCUUCUGGGUAUUAGCGCGCGUCUACGAUAAGUCUACGAUUUAAAAAAAAAUUUACCAUCAUUUUUUUCCAUUUUAAUGCAUUUUUUUCGAUAUUAUAUAAAGGAAGUAACUCUCUAAAAAUGUCUACGAUGAGACAACGAUUUAAAAAAAAAUUUAC